CUCCAGUGACGAGUCUCAAAUAGGACGAAAUGCGCAUCCUGGAU
rfam:Trichobilharzia regenti genome assembly, scaffold: TRE_scaffold0035892